AAACCAGCACCUCAAGUGGUCAGGAUGAUUAUUGGGCCUAAAGCAUCCGUAGCCGGCUCUGUAAGUUUUCGGUUAAAUCUAUAUGCUCAACAUAUAGGCUGCCGGGAAUACUGCACAGCUAGGGAGUGGGAGAGGUAGACGGUACUCGGUAGGAAGGGGUAAAAUCCUUUGAUCUAUUGAUGACCACCUGUGGCGAAGGCGGUCUACUAGAACACGUUCGACGGUGAGGGAUGAAAGCUAGGGGAGCAAACCGGAUUAGAAACCCCAGUAGUCC
rnacentral:rRNA from 1 species